AUUUGAUGCCUGGCAGUUCCCUACUCUCGCAUGGGGAGACCCCACACUACCAUCGGCGCUACGGCGUUUCACUUCUGAGUUCGGCAUGGGGUCAGGUGGGACCACCGCGCUANNNNNNNNNNNNNNNNNNNNUCAGGUGGGACCACCGCGCUACUGCCGCCAGGCAAAUUCUGUUAUCAGACCGUUUUUACGUUCUGAUGUAAUCUGGAAUCAGUGCUGAAAAUCGUCUCUCAUCCGCNNNNNNNNNNNNNNNNNNNNAAUCAGUGCUGAAAAUCGUCUUCUCAUCCGCCAAAACAUCUUCGGCGUUGUAAGGUUAAGCCUCACGGUUCAUUAGUACCGGUUAGCUCAACGCAUCGCUGCGCUUACACACCCGGCCUAUCAACGUCGUCGUCUUCAACGUUCCUUCAGGAGACUCUAAGUCUCAGGGAGAACUCAUCUCGGGGCAAGUUUCGUGCUUAGAUGCUUUCAGCACUUAUCUCUUCCGCAUUUAGCUACCGGGCAGUGCCAUUGGCAUGACAACCCGAACACCAGUGAUGCGUCCACUCCGGUCCUCUCGUACUAGGAGCAGCCCCCCUCAGUUCUCCAGCGCCCACGGCAGAUAGGGACCGAACUGUCUCACGACGUUCUAAACCCAGCUCGCGUACCACUUUAAAUGGCGAACAGCCAUACCCUUGGGACCUACUUCAGCCCCAGGAUGUGAUGAGCCGACAUCGAGGUGCCAAACACCGCCGUCGAUAUGAACUCUUGGGCGGUAUCAGCCUGUUAUCCCCGGAGUACCUUUUAUCCGUUGAGCGAUGGCCCUUCCAUUCAGAACCACCGGAUCACUAUGACCUGCUUUCGCACCUGCUCGCGCCGUCACGCUCGCAGUCAAGCUGGCUUAUGCCAUUGCACUAACCUCCUGAUGUCCGACCAGGAUUAGCCAACCUUCGUGCUCCUCCGUUACUCUUUAGGAGGAGACCGCCCCAGUCAAACUACCCACCAGACACUGUCCGCAACCCGGGUAACGGGUCCACGUUAGAACAUCAAACAUUAAAGGGUGGUAUUUCAAGGUCGGCUCCAUGCAGACUGGCGUCCACACUUCAAAGCCUCCCACCUAUCCUACACAUCAAGGCUCAAUGUUCAGUGUCAAGCUAUAGUAAAGGUUCACGGGGUCUUUCCGUCUUGCCGCGGGUACACUGCAUCUUCACAGCGAGUUCAAUUUCACUGAGUCUCGGGUGGAGACAGCCUGGCCAUCAUUACGCCAUUCGUGCAGGUCGGAACUUACCCGACAAGGAAUUUCGCUACCUUAGGACCGUUAUAGUUACGGCCGCCGUUUACCGGGGCUUCGAUCAGGAGCUUCGCUUGCGCUGACCCCAUCAAUUAACCUUCCGGCACCGGGCAGGCGUCACACCGUAUACGUCCACUUUCGUGUUUGCACAGUGCUGUGUUUUUAAUAAACAGUUGCAGCCAGCUGGUAUCUUCGACUGACUUCAGCUCCAUGAGUAAAUCACUUCACCUACGUGUCAGCGUGCCUUCUCCCGAAGUUACGGCACCAUUUUGCCUAGUUCCUUCACCCGAGUUCUCUCAAGCGCCUUGGUAUUCUCUACCUGACCACCUGUGUCGGUUUGGGGUACGAUUUGAUGUUACCUGAUGCUUAGAGGCUUUUCCUGGAAGCAGGGCAUUUGUUGCUUCAGCACCGUAGUGCCUCGUCGUCACGCCUCAGUGUUAAAGUGAACCGGAUUUACCUGGAACACACACCUACACGCUUAAACCGGGACAACCGUCGCCCGGCCAACAUAGCCUUCUCCGU
rnacentral:rRNA from 1 species